AAAUAGACAGUACUCGGAAUCUUGCCGGACUACUUGGACUGCAAAAUUUCAUUAGCAAACUAUUUCAAGAUGAUGUGGUGUUUUUUUUUUUUUUUUUUACAGUAAAGGAAGCAACUCAAGAAACAAAAAUAGAACAAAAGAAGGCUAUACCACUUCUCUGGCAAACUUUGGAUAGCAGAAGAUAUUCCAUGGGCAAACUAUUUCAAGAUGACAUGUUUUUUUUUUCUUUUUACAGUAAAGAAGGCAACUCAAGAACCCAAAAUAAAAAAGGAGGUAAAAGAGAAAAGUUUGUUAUGUACUCCUUCGGCAAAGCUUGGACAGCGAAAAUACUUCCAUCAGCAAACUAUUUCAAGAUGACAUGGUGAUAUUUAUUUAUUUAUUUUAUUUUUUUCAGUAAAGGAGGCAACUCAAGAACCCAGAAUAAAAAAAAUAAAGAGGCAAAAGAGAAAAGUCCAGUAUAUCACAUCUACGGCAAACCUUGGACAGCGAGAGGAAUUCCAUUGGCAAACUUUUUCAAGACAAGAGCUAAAAAAAAAAAAAAAAAAGAGAGUAAAGGAGGCAGCUCAAGAACCCAGACUAAAAAAAGGCAAAAUGAGAAAUACCUGCUAUGGCACAAAGAAAAAGGUGCCUUGAUACAACUCACCUGAAGGCCUUGUAUGCACCCCUCUACAAGGUACUCGACCGGUUGUUCUUACGACACGAAAGACUCAACUUUAUCUGGAUGUUAGUUAAACUUUACAUGCAAUUUACUGGGCCACCCGAAACAUGAACUCUCGGUUUACUUCUAUUAUACGAGAGAAUGUCAAUGUUAUGUAGAUGUUAUGUAAACUUGGCCAUCCAGCGCAUCAAAACACAACUGAUGAGGCCGCCCGCCGCUCGCAGUCAACGGAACUGAGAAAAAUAAAUGUACUCACUUCCCUCAACCCUUUCUUUCUUUUCAAAGUGAACUCUUGUGUUGUUUUCUCUUUUUUUUGUGCCCUUGAGCUGCCUUCUUACUGUAAUAAUAAUGAUAAUAAUAAUAAUAAUAAUAGAUAAUAAAACGGAUCUAUACCCAUCAUGAACACACUUGCUCCUGUUGCUGCCUGACUAGACCCUUGAACUUCCUCUUUUAUGCUACAUUAUAUAAUCUUUACGAAGAAAGAACUUAGGUCACUGAAACACGGCAUUAAAUUAUGAGAUUCAAGAUGUAGAUAUUUGACUUCUAAAACCAUUAAAAAAGUGACUUUCUUAUGCUACACAAAAUUAUCUUUAUAUAGGAAGAACUUAGGUCACUGAAACACGGCAUCAAAUGAUGAGAUUCAAGACGUAGAUACCUGACUUCUAACGCCAUUAAUAAAGUGUCUUUCUUAUGCUACACAAAAUUAUCUUUAUACAGGAUGAACUAAGGUCACUGAAACACGGCAUCAAAUUAUGAGAUUCAAGACGUAAAUACCCAACUUCUAACACCAUCAAUAAAGCUACUCUUUCUUAUGCCACACAAAUUAUUUUAGAUACAGGAGAAACAUUUCAUUUGGGUUGUUGAAAUAGAUCAAAUUAUAAGAUUCAAGACUUAAGGGAUUAUGAGAUGAUAGAUUAUCUGACUUCUAUCACCAUUUAUAAAGAGACUCUUUCUUAUGCUACACAAAAUAAUCUAAAUAUAGAAGAAACGUUUCACUUGGAUUGUUGAAACAAAGCAUCAAGUUAUAAGAUUCAAGACUUACAGAUUAUGAGAUGAAAGACUUAUAUAGACUUUAACACCCUUUAUAAAGUAUCCAAUAAGACUUACUGCACUGGGAUGAAUGAUGGUAAAGCUGUAAAUAUCCCUGGACUUUCAACCUUAUGCUAUGUAAACUAAUUUUUAUGUAGUAUUUAACCCUUUCCAUCCGUGACGCAGACGUCGGCGUCACAGUAUGGAAAGGGUCAAGAGGAAAUGGAAGAGGAUUAAUCCUCUUCUAAACCUCUCAAUCCUCCUCUAAAUUCCUCUUAAUCCUCUUAAGAGGUUUAGAAGAGGAUUAAGAGGAAAUGGAAGAGGAUUAAGAGGUUUAGAAGAUGACUAACCCUUUCCAUACGGUGAUGCCGUCGGACGCCUGUCGGAUGCCGACGUCGGCGUCACCGGAGUGAAGGGGUUAAGAGUGCUAUUUAUUCUUGCUAGUUUACUUCUCCACUAACAUGCACUCUGUAACUACUUUUCAUUCUCCUGCUAUGACAUUCUGAACCAAACACCCUAUUCCUUUUCUUUCAUUCAUUCUACCUCAAGUCAUCUGCCCUCAACAUGCAUUCUUUAACUAUUUCUCAUUCUCCUGCUACGACAUUCUGUAACCAACACUCCCUUUCUUUGUUUUCAUUCAUCCUAACUUGGGUCAUCUACCCUCAACAUGCUUUCUAUAACUAUUUUUCACUUUCCUGCUAUGGCAUUCUGAACCAAACUCUCCCUUCCUUUUCUUUCAUUCAUUCUAGCUCAAGUCAUCCACCCCCAACAUGCAUUCUGUAACUAUUUCUCAUUCUUCUGCUAUUACAUUCUGAACCAAAUACUCCCUUUCUUUUUCAGUUCAUUCAACCUUGAGUCGUCUGCCCCCAACAUGCAUUCUUUAAUUAUUUCUCAUUCUUCUGCUAUGACAUUCUUUUUCAUUUUUUCAUUCUAGCUCAAGUCAUCCACGCCCAACAUGCUUUCUUUAACUAUCUUUCAUUCUCCUGCUAAGAAAUUCUGUACCCAACACUCCCUUCCCUUUUUCUUCAUUUAUUUUAGCUCAAGUCGUCUGCCCACAACAUGCAUUUUUAGACCAUUUCAUGUUAUCUGGCUACAGCAUUCUCACCACAAACUCCCUUUCCUUGUUAUCAUUCAUGCUAGCUACUCGUCUGCCCACAAGCAUGCAUUCUAUUACCAUCUCUCAUUCCCCGUUCCCACAUUCUGAGCAUAACCUAAGUUUCUUUUUAACUCUAUUCUCUUCCUUAUGUACAUGCACUGUUAAACUCUUUGCUCACUCCCACAAUAACCUUUUCUAUCUUUGACUCAAUCAUUCUGAACUAACAUAUAUUCUUUCUUUCAUUCCUUACGCUUACAUUCACCCAGGUCUCUCUCUCUCACUCUCUCAACUACUCCACCACUGAUCCCUUUUUCUUGUAGCAUCCACCUUAGCACUUCUAUAAUGACAAAACUCCACAUUAACUCCACAUUGGCCGUUCCCUAUUACUAACGUCACCCCAUUUCUAUUUUUUGAUUCCACUGACACAUCCUCUUGCUCUUCACAGUCCCUACCAAAACCAUCUCUUUCUCUUGUAGCAAUUCCCCUAAGACGGAAACCCACAUUAGCCAUUCCCCUAAUACUAACGUCACCCUAAUGCUAUCUGACUCCACUAACAUAUCCUUCUUGCCCUUCCCUUUCCCUACCAAAGCCAUCUCUUCCAUCCCUUUCUCUUGUAGAUCUUCCCCUAAAACAGAAGCCCACAUUAGCCACUCCCCUAACACUAAUGUCACCCUAAUGCUCUCUAACACCACUAACAUAUUCUUCUUGCCCUUUACUUUCCAUACCAAAACCAUCUCUUCCACUACUAUACGAGGCAUGUAAUGACAAUGGGUUUUCAAGCAUCGAAAUGUAAGGGUAAAAAGUUGGAAAGUUUCGUUUAGUCGGCGCAACAUCUGUGGUGAUAUGCCGGAGAGAGACAGAAGGGGAAGGAAUUAUAGGAGAAAGGAACAGACCCCAGGAGACGGGACACAACCCCCGAUUAAUACCUGGUACCCAUUCACUGCUGGGUAUUAUGCAAGGGUAAGUCAGCCCAUCUGUCACAACACAUUUAAAUCUUCCUCAGACUGGUAGUUCUCCACGAUUUUCCCCUCGACCACCAUUCUCUCUUACCAUGACCAUGACCAUUUUCUUUCCUGCUGCAGCCCUCUUUCCCUUGUCGGUCCUGCAGGCUCGACUAACAAGAUCCAGUGUUUUUGGCAAGGGUACUGAGAGGGUUCGUUGUUUGUUAUUGAAGUGCUUUAAUGUGAGAAUAUAUAAAGAUUGUUGUUUUUAUUUACGGACGUUCUUCGUGUUGAGUAGGAGCACCCGUAACGCCUGAGUGGUCCACCUGUUAGUAAGUUAAUACCUGUGUGCGUGAGUGCUAAUUAAGUGCGUGAGUAAGCGAGUGAGUGAGAGUGAGUGAGUGGUUAAUAAUUUUUACUCUCUUAAGUACUUGGGUUACGAGAGUGAGAGAGAAGAGGAGAGGGAGAGAGCAGGAGAGUAGAGGAAAGAGAGAGAGAGAGAGAGAGAGAGAGAGAGAGAGAGAGAGAGAGAGAGAGAGAGAGAGAGAGA